CGGGAAAAUGCAGCUUCCAUGACCUGAAACAUACGCAUCUCCUCAUUUAAUAGAUUUUAUAACGAAAUAAAUGGAAAAGGAUAAAGAACUAUGUAAUGUAUCCAGUUAACUCACAAUUUCGAACUUUUAAGGAACUCGAGAUCAUUUACACAACAAGUAUAUGAUCUUGAUAAAUAUUUUCUUGUUAAAGCUCCUAUAGACUCUCCCAACUUAGGAUCUAAAAACUAACAGACUCAGAUGGUGUUUGUUGAUUUUCAUAAGUCUUUUACUCUAGAUCUUCAAACUAUAAACCAUAACAAGAGAAAAAGAAGAAGAAAAAAAGAGCUUACUUGGGUCAGUAGUAGUG